GAUGAACGCUAGCGAUAGGCUUAACACAUGCAAGUCGAGGGGCAGCACAAGGUAGCUUGCUAUCUGGGUGGCGACCGGCGCACGGGUGCGUAACGCGUAUGCAACUUGCCCUAUACAGGAGGAUAACCCGUCGAAAGACGGACUAAUACUGCGUAUGCUCACAACUUGGCAUCAAGUGGUGAGGAAAGAAAUUCGGUAUAGGAUAGGCAUGCGUCCCAUUAGCUUGUUGGUGAGGUAACGGCUCACCAAGGCAACGAUGGGUAGGGGAACUGAGAGGUUUAUCCCCCACACUGGUACUGAGACACGGACCAGACUCCUACGGGAGGCAGCAGUGAGGAAUAUUGGUCAAUGGGCGCGAGCCUGAACCAGCCAAGUCGCGUGAAGGAUGACUGUCUCAUGGAUUGUAAACUUCUUUUAUACGGGAAUAACAAGAGUCACGUGUGACUCCCUGCAUGUACCGUAUGAAUAAGCAUCGGCUAACUCCGUG
rnacentral:rRNA from 1 species